rnacentral:rRNA from 1 species
AUUUUGGACAAUGGGGGAAACCCUGAUCCAGCCAUCCCGCGUGUAUGAUGAAGGCCUUCGGGUUGUAAAGUACUUUUCGCAGAGAAUAAAAGGUAUCUCCUAAUACGAUAUACUCCUGUCGGUAUCUCCAGCAUCAGCACCGGCUAACUACGUGCAAGCAGCAGCGGUAAUACGUAGGGUGCAAGCGUUAAUCGGAAUUACUGGGCGUAAAGCGUGUGUAGGCGGUUCGGAAAGAAAGAUGUGAAAUCCCAGGGCUCAACCUUGGAACUGCAUUUUAACUGCCGAGCUAGAGUAUGUCAGAGGGGGGUAGAAUUCCACGUGUAGCAGUGAAAUGCGUAGAUAUGUGGAGGAAUACCGAUGGCGAAGGCAGCCCCCUGGGAUAAUACUGACGCUCAGACACGAAAGCGUGGGGAGCAAACA